GCCAGGGCUACCACACAGGGGGACUGGAGCCGUGUCCAGAACAGGAAGCAGUAGGAGGGGGUGACUGGGGGCCACACCUGACUGUUUGGGAAGGCACAGCCUCCCCCAGGCUCUGAUACCUCCCACCCAUAUGCAGGAGCAGGUUGUGCUCUCCCUCUUCCUUCUGCCAUCUUUGUUUAAAACUUCUAGCUAGUACAGAAACCCCACCACAGAACGAUGACGCCAUUGGGGGGCGGGACACCAAGAAAAAGCUUCAGGUGGCUCCAGCAGGAGCCGUAUCAGCCCACCUCUGGGAGGAAGGUCAGCUGCACGUUUGAACCACUGAGGACACGAGCCCCUGGGGCCCCAAAGAAGACCGGAUGGAACCCCAGUGGAUACAGUCUGCCUCCAAAAUUGUGGCAUGCACGAUACCAUCACAGCCCAGACUGUCCCUGGCAGAAGAGUGGGCUGCUCAUCCCCAUCUGCAGAGGUAGCGAAGCAGAGCGAGGGGAGCAGGCUGCACAAUCCCCAGAGACAGAGCAGUGAACGUACCCCCCGGAUGUCCAGGAGACUCUGGUGCAGAGCCUGCGUGAAUCAGGAGUGGGCUCCAUCCCACAGCCUAUCCAUGUGUACUGUACUGUGUCGUGAACUGUAUAACUGCUCCACAGAUAUCCUGAGUGAUUCCACUCAUGAACUGAAAUGCUGUUUAGAAAUGCUCAGUUGCUACAGAACCACGUAUUGUGCAGCAAGAUGUCAGCUCUGAGGACCUGUUUUUAAUUCUCAGCCUUGCAGUCGAUCUUAGGAACGUUCAAAAGUGGGGUGAGAAUACACUAAUUAAAAUGUUAUCUGCCACAUGGAAACUUUGAACUUGAUAACACUUGGAAAGAUAAAACGGCUGCAGCAGAUGAACGGAAAUGGAAAAGUUUUAGAACUACCAAACUUAUUAAUUUUUUCUAUGCCCAGUUUUUUCCAAGUCCUGUGUGGUAGACAAGGGGACGCAACAUGCAAGUGGGAAGUCAGCUGUACGUAGCUCUUCAUCAUUCUGAACUCAAAGAUUUUCUUCCUUGCAUUUGCUGAGUUGUGUGCAUUACUGUCGAGACCAAAGGGCACCACUCAUAAAUAAAUUAAUAAACACAAACAAAUGAACUUUGGGCAGAUACGAUGCUGAGCUGCAAGACUGAGCCAGUG